UACGUAGGGGGCAAGCGUUGUCCGGAAUCAUUGGGCGUAAAGAGCGUGUAGGCGGCCCGGUAAGUCCGCUGUGAAAGUCCAGGGCUCAACCCUGGGAUGCCGGUGGAUACUGUCGGGCUCGAGUCCGGAAGAGGAGUGUGGAAUUCCUGGUGUAGCGGUGAAAUGCGGCAGAUAUCAGGAGGAACACCAAUGGCGAAGGCAGCACUCUGGGACGUGACUGACGCUGAGACGCGAAAGCGUGGGAGCAAACAGG
rnacentral:rRNA from 1 species